UUGUAAAGCUCAUGGCUCAUGACAGGCUGUAACAUGGACAUGUACAUUAUGAACAGAAAAACGAAAAUGCUGGAAUACGUUUCUGUCUCUGCCAGUGAGGGAGUAAGCGCACGCUUGACGGAUUGACUAGUCCGGUCAUCCCUCCUCACCCUCCUCACCUGUUCCUGACCCCCUCGUUAGUGUCUGUGUAUUUAGUUUUUGUUCUCCCUGCACUCCUUGUCAGUUUGUUUUGUGUGAUGUCCCCCUCCAAGUACCCUGUGUGUCCUCCAGGGUCUCCUGUCUCCUGUGUGCAGGAGCGCAGCUGGUGGUGGCCAAAGUUUCCCCUGACAUACUUACCAUGAGGUUUUGGAGGGAAAGUGCCAAAGUAGCCAGUGGUGAGCAGCCUGGAGUUGUGCUGUGGGUUUAGCAGUCUUGGCAGGAGGUUGCCUCGACAGGUGACACUGAAGCACUCCAUACAGCCUCUGUCUAUAAGCUGAUCAGCCACCUGCCUGCACAACUGUUUCCCACAAGUCAUCAACAUCCCCAUGUACCUGCAGGGAGUGAAAUAGCUGGCCCAAGCUGUGUCGGGCAGUUUGGUACUCUUCGGCCUGUACUGAGAGCAGAGUCUGAGCCCAGAACUGCCGUAACAUCCCUAUGGCGCCAUCCAUGCGCUCUGCAUCAAAGU